GGAAAUGAAUGAUUUGAGUUAUGUAUUUACAGUAAUGCUCCGUAACCCUAUUUCAGUGACAAAUACGGGGUGUUACAUCGUGUUUACUGUCCCGACGGACUUACCUCGUCUUUACUGUCCCAACAGAUUAUUUAUGUUCUGUGUUUAUUGUCCCAAUGGACUAUCUCUAUUUUGUGUUUACUGCCCCAACAGACUAUCUUUGUUAUGCCAUAGAGUCUUUCAUCCAUGGUCUUACUCAUCC
rnacentral:lncRNA from 1 species